AGUAACCUGGGCCAUUAGCAUUUCUAAAGCCCACUUCUCCUGGUCCCCGCUUUGGCUCAGCUUGGGCAGAGGAACUUAGCCCUAUAGAACAACAAUUCCAACUAACCUUCAAGAGCACUUUGGAGUAUAUAAUUCACGUUUCUAUAUAGCCAUUUCAUUUGCUUCUCACAACAGCCCUUAGCGGUGGGACACUGACAUCCCAAGAAGUUCGGUGAUUUGCCCAAGGUCACAAAGCUCCAGUUGUUUCCUAGUGUCUGGUCUACUCCAGGACCAUGGUAGACAAAGCAUUUUCUGAGCUUCCACUUGGACACUGAAUGUGCUGAAGAUAGCCAGAGGCCACCAGGAAUUUGCACAUUUGCACUUCUGUUUUCUAGCAUCUCAGUGUCUGGCUCUGUGUUGGGUCCUGGAGAAACAGCAAUACAUCAGAGAUCACCCCAGCCUUUAUGGACCUCACCACCUGGUGGGAGACCCAGACGUGACAUGUCCACCAGUCGUCGAAUGUCUAAUUGAGUUUACAGAUGAGGAAAGUGAAGCUCGAGGAGGUAUCCUGAAGCUGGAAAAUCCUCACACAGGAGCCCUGGCAGGCACGUGUUUUCCCAGGCCAUACCCUCUGCUCUGUUUGUGCACCAGGGACCCCCCUGGGCUGACCAAUUCCUGCUUCACAUCGGACCACAGGAGCCAUCAGUUUAACCU
ensembl:lncRNA